rnacentral:rRNA from 1 species
CCUACGGGAGGCAGCAGUGAGGAAUAUUGGUCAAUGGGCGCGAGCCUGAACCAGCCAAGUCGCGUGAGGGAAGACGGCCCUACGGGUUGUAAACCUCUUUUGCCGGGGAGCAAAGGGCGCCACGUGUGGCGCCACUGAGAGUCCCCGGAGAAAAAGCAUCGGCUAACUCCGUGCCAGCAGCCGCGGUAAUACGGAGGAUGCGAGCGUUAUCCGGAUUUAUGGGGUUUAAAGGGUGCGUAGGCGGAGCGUUAAGUCAGUGGUCAAGUUGAGGGCCUCAACCCCGUACCGCCAUUGAAACUGGCGCUCUUGAGUGGAAGAGAAGUAGGCGGAAUGCGUGGUGUAGCGGUGAAAUGCAUAGAUAUCACGCAGAACCCCGAUGGCGAAGGCAGCAUGCCGGCUUCCUACUGACGCUGAAGCACGAAAGCGUGGGGAGCGAACAGGAUUAGAUACCCUUGUAGUC